rfam:Oryza sativa Japonica Group DNA, chromosome 8, cultivar: Nipponbare, complete sequence.
AAUGGCAAUGACAAUGGGAAGCAAGGCUGUAAGGCGGAGCAAAUCCGGAAAGAUUGCCUCAAUUUGGAUUGUUCUCUGCAACUCAGGAACAUGAAG